rnacentral:rRNA from 1 species
GGGGAUCGAAAGACCUUGCGCUUUUGGAGCGGCCGAUGUCUGAUUAGCUAGUUGGUGGGGUAAGGGCCUACCAAGGCGACGAUCAGUAGUUGGUCUGAGAGGACGACCAGCCACACUGGGACUGAGACACGGCCCAGACUCCUACGGGAGGCAGCAGUGGGGAAUUUUGGACAAUGGGCGCAAGCCUGAUCCAGCAAUGCCGCGUGAGUGAAGAAGGCCUUCGGGUUGUAAAGCUCUUUCAGUCGAGAAGAAAAGACUGCAGCGAAUAACUGCAGUUCAUGACGGUAUCGACAGAAGAAGCACCGGCUAACUACGUGCCAGCAGCCGCGGUAAUACGUAGGGUGCGAGCGUUAAUCGGAAUUA